rnacentral:tRNA from 19 species
CGCGGGGUGGAGCAGCCUAGUAGCUCGUCGGGCUCAUAACCCGAAGGUCGUCGGUUCAAAUCCGGCCCCCGCAACCA